UCUCAGCAAGCAAUAUCACAA
rnacentral:misc_RNA from 1 species